rnacentral:lncRNA from 1 species
UAGAUCUUUUAGGAUUCACUUUAUAGGAUAUCCUAAGAAAAUCAUGGGAUACUACUUUUAUCUUUCUGAGGAUUGUAAUGUGAUUGUAAGCUGUCAUAUCAUCUUUUUAGAAAAAAGAGUUUAUCCAAGAUGGAGGCAGUGGGAGGAAGAUUGAGCUCGAAGAGAGUUUCUGAAGAGCAUUGAGUCCAAGAACUUGAAUUCAAUAAUGAGCCAGU